UACAGAGGGGGCGAGCGUUGUUCGGAAUUACUGGGCGUAAAGGGCGCGUAGGCGGCCUUCUAAGUCGAACGUGAAAUCCCCGAGCUCAACUCGGGAACUGCGUCCGAUACUGACAGGCUUGAAUCCGGGAGAGGGAUGCGGAAUUCCAGGUGUAGCGGUGAAAUGCGUAGAUAUCUGGAGGAACACCGGUGGCGAAGGCGGCAUCCUGGACCGGCAUUGACGCUGAGGCGCGAAAGCUAGGGGAGCAAACGGG
rnacentral:rRNA from 1 species